UGACCUGGGCUACACACGUGCUACAAUGGGCGGUACAAAGGGCUGCGAACCCGCGAGGGGGAGCGAAUCCCAAAAAGCCGCUACUCAGUUCGGAUUGCAGGCUGCAACUCGCCUGCAUGAAGCCGGAAUCGCUAGUAAUCGCGGAUCAGCAUGCCGCGGUGAAUUACCGGUUCCCGGGCCUU
rnacentral:rRNA from 1 species